rnacentral:rRNA from 1 species
AGUGAACGCUGGCGGCAGGCCUAAUACAUGCAAGUCGAACGGCAGCACAGCAGAGCUUGCUCUGUGGGUGGCGAGUGGCGGACGGGUGAGGAAUACAUGGGAAUCUGCCCAGUCGUGGGGGAUAACGUAGGGAAACUUACGCUAAUACCGCAUGCGCCCUUCGGGGGAAAGCCGGGGACCUUCGGGCCUGGCGCGAUUGGAUGAGCCCAUGUCGGAUUAGCUAGUUGGCGGGGUAAAGGCCCACCAAGGCGACGAUCCGUAGCUGGUCUGAGAGGAUGAUCAGCCACACUGGAACUGAGACACGGUCCAGACUCCUACGGGAGGCAGCAGUAGGGAAUAUUGGACAAUGGGCGCAAGCCUGAUCCAGCCAUGCCGCGUGAGUGAAGAAGGCCCUCGGGUUGUAAAGCUCUUUUGUCCGGAAAGAAAGCGCCGGGUUAAUACCCUGGUGUCCUGACGGUACCGGAAGAAUAAGCACCGGCUAACUUCGUGCCAGCAGCC